AUGGACUUUCUGGUGGUAUGUCUGGUAAUUUGCUCCCUUUCUUCUGGUCCUUGGUCCUUCACCGGCCAAGUCCCUUGUGGGAGAUUGGAACCGCAGUUAGAAGACCUCCACACUCGCUUCGGAACUAAGUUCCGUCUCAGUCACACUCUUACACACAGGCAACCGAAUCCCACCCAACCGAAUGGUAUACUCCUUAAACACUUACGACUCUGUCAUCUUCGUUCGGAUCUUCGCACGCAGAAUUAUGGACAAAAUACAGUGCUGCAGCCGGCAAGGGAGCUCAUAAAAAAAUCAAAAUCUUUGUUUACCUUUAUUCAGGUUCAAGAUGGCAUUAGUCAUGACCUUACUCGAACAGGAGCCACCAAAUGGUGGGGCGCCUCUCCCAGAUCAAAUCAGAAUUCAGGAACCAAAGCCAUCCCGGACGAGCCCCCAAUUGUUAUAAAUGGCUCAGUCUUCAAAAUAGGACUAUAAUCAAAGUUUACAGUUUAUUAAAGGAAUAGAGGUAAGCAAACAGAACUGGGUGCACCGGGAGUCUCUGCUCCACCAAGACGCACACCAGUUACAUCAAGCAGCUGAUUUUUAUGCUCCUAGGCUAAUACAUAUUCAUUACUACUUCUAAAAAAAACAGGGUUAUUAUAAUUAGUUUCUGGAAUCCAAACCCUCCUACAGGAGCAUGCGUAUCAGUCUCUGGUGGUGUCUCUGGGGGUCUCUGGGGGCCUCUCGUGAUGAAAGCUCAUAGUCUUCCUCCCCCUUGUCCUUCUCCUUUGUCCAGGUUGACUGUAUGUCAGAGACUUGUGCAGCGUGCCCUGCAAGCUUUGUCUUUUAGUCGUUCUUCAGCUUUCCCCAUCUCCUUAAUCUCCUGGCCAGAUAUCAGAGACUUGCAUAAUGUCCCAUGCAAUAGUCAUAAUAUUUAGCAGUUAUUCUGAACUCCUCUCCCCCCCAGAUACUAGAGACUUCAAGGAAAAGCCUACAAAUACAUUUCCCUUCAAGCUCUCUAUUGACACGAAUUGCUAAAACAUUCCUUUGCAAGAUACAAGAACUAUAUACAUUAACCACUCUGUUUUUCUUAGACUUGUGGUUAUACAAGGGUAUGUAAGACAGAAGGUCACAUUCAUCAUACCAUGCGGCCCUAGCAUUGUUCCAUAUUGACACGAAUUAGAUGAGCACAUUUCACAGGCAAAAUAUCACCAGAAGGUAAAGGGAGGUGAUUCUUCCCCUCUCCUCAAUGUUGGCGAGGCCACACACAGGGUACUGUGUCCAGUUAUGGGUCCCCCAUAUGAGAGGACAUGUAUGAGUAUGGGAGUCUGAGUGGCACAUGGACAUAAUGGAAAGAGUCCACCAAGAGGAUGAAGGGACUGGAGCACCUCUCUUGUGAGGAGAGGCUGAGCGUACUGGCACUGUUCAACUUGGAGAGCAAGAGGCUCAGGGGGAAUCACAGAAUCACAGAAUGGUGUGGGUUGGAAGGAACCCUAAACAUCAUCCAGUUCUAACUCCCUGCCAUGGGCAGGUACACCUCCCACCAGACCAGGUUGCUCAAAGCCCCAUCCAGCCUGGCCUUGAAUACUUCCAGGGAUGGGGCAUCCACAGCUUCUCUGGGCAACCUGUGCCAGGGCCUCACCAUCCUCUGAGUUAAGAAUUUUUUCUUAUAUCUAACCUAAAUCUUCCUUCUUUUAGUUGAAAGCCAUUCCCUCUUGUUGAAUCACUACACUCCUUGACAAAGAGUCCCUCCCCAGCUUUCCCGUAAGCCCCUUUUAGUUACUGGAAGACCACUGUAAGGUCUCCCUGGAGCCUUCUCUUCUCCAAGGGUGAACAACCUCAGCUCUCUCAGCCUUUUCUUUUAGGAGAGGUGCUCCAGCUCCUUGGUCAUCCUCAUGGCCCUCCUCUGGACUCAUUCUUCUACUUUUGUGUCCUUCCUGUGCUGAAGACCCCAGAGCUGAAUGCAGCACUCCAGGCGGGGGCUCAUGAGAGCAGAGCAGAAGGGGAGAACCAUCUUUCUUGACCUGCUGAUCAUGCUGGUUUUGACACAGUCCUGGAUAAGGUUGGCUUUCUUGGCAGCAAGCGCACAGCGCUGGCUCAUGUUGUGCUUCUCAUCAAUAAACAGGCCCAGGUCUUUCUCUUCA
rnacentral:lncRNA from 1 species